UACGUAGGUGGCAAGCGUUAUCCGGAUUUACUGGGUGUAAAGGGCGUGUAGGCGGGGAAGCAAGUCAGAUGUGAAAACCACGGGCUCAACCUGUGGCCUGCAUUUGAAACUGUUUUUCUUGAGUGCUGGAGAGGCAACCGGAAUUCCGUGUGUAGCGGUGAAAUGCGUAGAUAUACGGAGGAACACCAGUGGCGAAGGCGGAUUGCUGGACAGUAACUGACGCUGAGGCGCGAAAGCGUGGGGAGCAAACAGG
rnacentral:rRNA from 1 species